rnacentral:rRNA from 1 species
GUGAGGAAUAUUGGUCAAUGGGCGGGAGCCUGAACCAGCCAAGUCGCGUGAAGGAAGAAGGAUCUAUGGUUCGUAAACUUCUUUUGCAGGGGAAUAAAGUGCAGGACGUGUCCUGUUUUGUAUGUACCCUGAGAAUAAGGAUCGGCUAACUCCGUGCCAGCAGCCGCGGUAAUACGGAGGAUCCGAUCGUUAUCCGGAUUUAUUGGGUUUAAAGGGUGCGUAGGUGGUUUGAUAAGUCAGCGGUGAAAGUUUGCAGCUUAACUGUAAAAAUGCCGUUGAAACUGUCGGACUUGAGUGUAAAUGAGGUAGGCGGAAUGCGUGGUGUAGCGGUGAAAUGCAUAGAUAUCACGCAGAACUCCGAUUGCGAAGGCAGCUUACUAAGCUACAACUGACACUGAAGCACGAAAGCGUGGGGAUCAAACAGGAUUAGAAACCCGAGUAGUCC